CGGAUUGUAGUCUGCAACUCGACUACAUGAAGCUGGAAUCGCUAGUAAUCGCGAAUCAGAAUGUCGCGGUGAAUACGUUCCCGGGUCUUGUACACACCGCCCGUCACACCAUGGGAGUCAGUAACGCCCGAAGCCGGUGACCCAACCAAACGGAGGGAGCCGUCGAAGGUGGGACCGAUAACUGGGGUGAAGUCGUAACAAGGUAAC
rnacentral:rRNA from 1 species